AUGGCUGGCCCGGGUGGGGAAGGCAGGAGGCGGCGAUCCCUGCGGAGGGGGCCGUUCGCCAGCUCCGAGGCAGAAAGUGCCACGACUCCACACGCGCGCACGCAGCCAGCGAGCGGCCGGAGCGGACGGCGGACGGGGCGGGCAGCGUCGGGAUCGAGGCGCCUGCAGCUGCUUAGGGGGCGGCUUCUCGGCGGAGGCUUGGCCGGCUCCUCUCUCUCCCGCUUCCGCGGCGGCGGCGGCGGCUCCUGCCCUCUCGCUCUCCCUCCCGCGUCUCCGGCUGCAGGUGAAAGGAAAACCAGCCAGGAUGGAUAUUUACGACACUCAGACCUUGGGGGUUGUGGUCUUUGGUGGAUUCAUGGUUGUUUCUGCCAUCGGCAUCUUCCUCGUGUCAACCUUCUCCAUGAAGGAGACGUCGUAUGAAGAAGCUCUGGCCAACCAGCGCAAGGAAAUGGCGAAGACCAACCACCAGAAAGUGGAGAAGAAGAAGAAGGAGAAGACAGUGGAGAAGAAAGGAAAGACCAAGAAAAAGGAGGAGAAGCCCAACGGAAGAUACCUGACCAUGAGCCCACCCCUGGAGUGACCAUCCUCCCCAACCUUGUGGACUUUGGUCCCCAGCCAGCGAGAAGGGUAGUUCAUACUCGUGGUUGGGAGUGUGUCAACAGACAAAGGGUCCUCUCCCCAAGGUGAGGAGUGGACCUGGUGACGCUGUCCCCCUCCCUCUUUGCAGCCUCUGGAUGUGGAAUUCAGACCUGAGGUCUUACUUGGUCAGCCUCCCAGGACUGAUAUUUCCUGUUUCCUAAUGUGCGGAUUCACAGGCUCCGAUUUUCCUCACCACACGUUGAUCACCUUUGGGAUUGUAAUGUGCAGGUUCUCAUCUCUGCCCCUGGGUGGGUACUUGUGUUUAUCAGGCCUGGGGAAAAGGGGGCAGCAGAGAAAGAGCGCUCAUGAGACCCGCUGGCCUGGAUGCUGUGAGCGAGAGCCAGCAGCUGUGUUUGAUUUGACUCACAUGGUAUUCUUAAUAUCAGUCAACUUGAGUUGAGGAGGGGAAAAAUCUGUCCUGAUAUGAGAAGGCAAAAGAUACAUCAACCUAGUGCUCACGUUUCUGCAGUCAUCACCUGUGACCGGGUGACUCCUGCUCCUGAUGUAGUUGGCACUCUGACACAGUCCUUACCACUUCCAGUUACCUAACACUGCCCGUGCUUGUGUUCAUGUGCAUCUUUGACCCUGUGGUGGGGAACAUCUUGACCUGGGGUCACAGCUCCUGAGUCGCAUGGGCGCCACAUGCCCUGGUCAUGGAGCUGCCUGCUGCCAUCUCUCCAUGGCUUCAUGUGUCCCAGCUUGUGUAAAAGUUGCUCACUUCUGAGGGGGCAGGGAGAACAGGUGACAGCAGAGAUUGCCUGGUUUGUUUCUUCUUUGAUUUUAUCAGUCUGAAGGAUUAGUGGAACCAUAUGUUAGGUGCUGCGAGUGGGGACGGUGACUGUCAAAUGCCUCGGUUU
rnacentral:lncRNA from 1 species